UUUUUUUUUUUUUUUUUUUUUUUUUUUUUUUUUCAAA
rnacentral:ribozyme from 1 species